UACGGAGGGUGCGAGCGUUGUCCGGAAUCACUGGGCGUAAAGGGCUCGUAGGUGGCCAACUAAGUCGGACGUGAAAUCCCUCAGCUUAACUGGGGAACUGCGUCCGAUACUGGAUGGCUUGAGUUUGGGAGAGGGAUGCGGAAUUCCAGGUGUAGCGGUGAAAUGCGUAGAUAUCUGGAGGAACACCGGUGGCGAAGGCGGCAUCCUGGACCAACACUGACACUGAGGAGCGAAAGCCAGGGGAGCAAACGGG
rnacentral:rRNA from 1 species